AUUGAACGCUAGCGGGAUGCCUUACACAUGCAAGUCGAACGGCAGCACGGACUUCGGUCUGGUGGCGAGUGGCGAACGGGUGAGUAAUGUAUCGGAACGUGCCCAGUAGCGGGGGAUAACUACGCGAAAGCGUAGCUAAUACCGCAUAAGCCCUACGGGGGAAAGCAGGGGAUCGCAAGACCUUGCACUAUUGGAGCGGCCGAUAUCGGAUUAGCUAGUUGGUGGGGUAACGGCUCACCAAGGCGACGAUCCGUAGCUGGUUUGAGAGGACGACCAGCCACACUGGGACUGAGACACGGCCCAGACUCCUACGGGAGGCAGCAGUGGGGAAUUUUGGACAAUGGGGGAAACCCUGAUCCAGCCAUCCCGCGUGUGCGAUGAAGGCCUUCGGGUUGUAAAGCACUUUUGGCAGGAAAGAAACGUCGCGGGUUAAUACCUCGCGAAACUGACGGUACCUGCAGAAUAAGCACCGGCUAACUACGUG
rnacentral:rRNA from 1 species